rnacentral:tRNA from 3 species
GGAGGGGUCGCAUAGUGGCCUAGUGCGGGCGCCUGCUAAGCGCUUAGGGGGCGAAAUCCCUCUCGCGGGUUCGAAUCCCGCCCCCUCCG